rnacentral:rRNA from 1 species
UACAGAGGGUGCUAGCGUUGUUCGGAAUCAUUGGGCGUAAAGGGCGUGUAGGCGGUUUGUUAAGUCAUGUGUGAAAUCCCUCGGCUCAACCGGGGAACGACGCAUGAAACUGGCAAGCUAGAGUACCAAAGAGGGGGGUGGAAUUCCCGGUGUAGCGGUGAAAUGCGUAGAUAUCAGGAGGAACACCAGCGGCGAAGGCGGCGCUCUGGGCCGGAACUGACGCUGAGGAGCGAAAGCGUGGGUAGCAAACAGG